AGCUUUCUUAAAGAGCUCGCGUUCCCUUACCCAGGGAUGGUCCUUUCAAAUUCCUCCAGUUCUGCCUGCGGUAUGCGAGAGCGGUCCUUGAACCAUCCCCCAAGCCACCUAGGUGAUGAUUCCCUCAGCAGACCUCAGCAGACCCUCCAACUCAGGUCUGGAACCUAUGGUCAUCGGGGGGAUGAGGCGGUCAUCUGAAACUAAGACUGCUUAACACAGAGCACGACACAUAGUAGGACUUCAGUUUUCAUUUGUUGAAUGAACCCGAUCAGAGGAUGAAUGAGGAUAACAGGCAAGAGGAGGGAAGAUGGGCUCUGGGUGACCGCACCCCCUACCCAAUCCUGAAGAAAUUCUGCUUCUCUAAAUGUUAGGUGGGGUCCCAGUGCAGCCUUGCUGCAGGGCACAGUUCUAGGCGCUCGGCCAGAGGGGAUCUGCGAGGCCGCCUUGGCUCGCCCCUGGGUAGGUGGUAGCCAGGUCCCGGCUAGGCGGGACCGCAAGAACCGGCCGAGGGCGCUCCCGCGCUGCUUGCGGGGGAGGGGCUGCGGAGGCGCGGUGCCUUU
rnacentral:lncRNA from 1 species